GAUGAACGCUGGCGGCGUGCCUAAUACAUGCAAGUCGAGCGAAAAGAUGAGGAGCUUGCUCCUCUGACGUUAGCGGCGGACGGGUGAGUAACACGUGGAUAACCUACCUAUAAGAAUGGGAUAACGUCGGGAAAACGGAGCUAAUACCGGAUAAGAUAGUGAACCGCAUGGUUCAAUAGUGAAAGACGGUUUUGCUGUCACUUAUAGAUGGAUCCGCGCCGCAUUAGCUAGUUGGUAAGGUAACGGCUUCCCAAGGCAACGAUGCGUAGCCGACCUGAGAGGGUGAUCGGCCACACUGGAACUGAGACACGGUCCAGACUCCUACGGGAGGCAGCAGUAGGGAAUCUUCCGCAAUGGGCGAAAGCUUGACGCAGCAACGCCGCGUGAGUGAUGAAGGUCUUCGGAUCGUAAAGCUCUGUUGUUAGGAGAGAACAAAUGUGUAAGUAACUAUGCACUUCUUGACGGUACCUAAUCAGAAAGCCACGGCUAACUACGUG
rnacentral:rRNA from 1 species